rnacentral:rRNA from 1 species
AGAAUCAACGCUGGCGGCGUGCCUAACACAUGCAAGUCGAACGAGAAAGUGGAGCAAUCCAUGAGUAAAGUGGCGCACGGGUGAGUAACACGUGACUAACCUACCCUUGAGUGGGGGAUAACCUAGGGAAACCUGGGCUAAUACCGCAUAAUACCUUCGGGUCAAAGGAGCAAUUCGCUUAAGGAGGGGGUCGCGGCCGAUUAGUUAGUUGGCGGGGUAAUGGCCCACCAAGACGAUGAUCGGUAUCCGGCCUGAGAGGGCGCACGGACACACUGGAACUGAAACACGGUCCAGACUCCUACGGGAGGCAGCAGUGGGGAAUUUGCGCAAUGGGGGAAACCCUGACGCAGCAACGCCGCGUGGAGGAUGAAGCCCCUUGGGGCGUAAACUCCUUUCGAUCGGGAAGAUAAUGACGGUACCGAGAGAAGAAGCCCCGGCUAACUUCGUGCCAGCAGCCGC